CAAGUCCACAUGCUCUCCAGAGAGAUUCAUUCAACUGUGGAAUAUAUUGCCUUGUGUUUGCAGAGAAGCAUUUAAAUGGACACUUGCAUGAUCUACAAAGUAUAACUAAAAAAGAUCUACAAAACAUGAGGAGAAAAGUAGCUUUAGAGUUGAUGCUUUACAAAGUUAACUUGACAGGAUGUUGCCCAAAAUGUGCUAAAAAAAUUGAAAAUGAAGAAAAGAUUGAAUGCAGCAUGUGCCAAAGAGCCUACCACUUUAAGCCUUUCUGCAUUGAAGAGGACAUGGAUGUUGAAGAAUUCACAGAAUUUAAAUGCAGAAUGUGCAGAAUAA